rnacentral:rRNA from 1 species
UCUAGAGAGACUGCCAGGGAUAACCUGGAGGAAGGUGGGGAUGACGUCAAAUCAUCAUGCCCCUUAUGCUUAGGGCUACACACGUGCUACAAUGGGUAGUACAGAGGGUUGCCAAGCCGUAAGGUGGAGCUAAUCCCUUAAAGCUACUCUCAGUUCGGAUUGUAGGCUGAAACUCGCCUACAUGAAGCUGGCGUUACUAGUAAUCGCAGAUCAGAAUGCUGCGGUGAAUGCGUUCCCGGGUCUUGUACACACCGCCCGUCACACCACGGGAGUUGGAGACGCCCGAAUCCGAUUAUCUAACCUUUUGGAAGACGUCGUCGAAGGUGGAAUCAAUAACUGGGGUGAAGUCGUAACAAGGUAGCCGUAUCGGAAGGUGCGGCUGGAUCACCUCCUUUCUAAGGAGA